ensembl:lncRNA
CCCAACACCAACACCCCCCCGCGCGGUCGGUUGGGGCGAGCCGCAGCGUUGUUUGCCGGCACACAGGUGCAUAGGUGGGCGGCUCUCCGCUUCAGUUGUGAUGAGCGUCAGCCCAUGAACACGAGAUCUGCUGCAUUUUUGGGCGUGCGAGCGAGUGGCACGCAAUACCUGGGAGGGCACGCACUCGCACACCGCGUGGCUGAGCGGGCUAAAGGUGCGAUAGGGAUCGUUGUUUUGUCUGAGAACUGCAGAGGUCACAUGCUCCAUAAGAGGAGGGCCGGGGGCGCGCACGUGCAAACAGCAAUCUGCUACCAAAAAAUACAAACAACUGUGUUUGGAGGAGGACUUUGACCACAUUGUGAGGACAAAUCAUACUUUAUGUAAAGAUAACACUCACUCGGGGGUGGCAAGACUCACAGCGGAACCACUCUUCGGAAACUGGAUUCUUGGACGGACCACCAUGAUGGCCAGCAGUGCUGUCAGCACAUACAGGCCCCAACGCCGCUAAUAGAGGGAGGUGUUUGCUAAGCCAUGAAAGACUUGCCUGACAGGUAACCCUAACGAGCACUGCUGUGGAUCCCAGGCAGCCGACCCACUCUGUCCCUUCCCUGAACUCCGGCACGCAGCCGUUAGGAUGCUGAAGAAAAGGUUGUUCAACAUAGAGUUGAAUUGGGAUGCAGGUGAUGCGACACACCCUCUUGCAUCUAUAUUCAAAGCCCACAUCUCUAGACGGCUUUGAACAACUGCUGUGCAAAAUGUGCAUCCUGUGUUUGUUUUUUCCUUCAUGUUGCGUAUUAUAAUCUUUGCAGAUGAAAUGAAAGAAAUCCCUGUUAUCUGUUACGACACUUUCUUGUCUUCUUUUAUUUAUGUGUGAUAUGGCUAUCACAGUAGUAUGAGAACUGUAGCAAACAUGUUUGCAGAAGGCCAUUCACUAACUAAAGUGUUUGUUGGGAAAUGCUAAAUAAAAAUAGAAAAACGAGAGGAAACCAUCUGAAAUACGUAAUUAAAAAUAUGCAGAAAGUAUCCACAUGUCAUGCUUCCACAUAAACGUAUACGAAGAGCAUGUGUGAGCACGAGGAGUACAAGGCGUGAGGACAUCUCUUUUAGCCAUGUUUUAAUUCCUCUAACAAAAAUGUAAUAAUUGUGUUUAAGCUCGAGGGAUAAUAGAAGUGAAUUCAUAUCUUUCUUGUUUCGGCGGAAAGAGGCGACAUUUGCAUUCUUUAAGGUUGAUCUAAUGAAAAUGUCCCAUGUUGAGCCUUGUGUUAUUCUCUGUGCUGGGAAGUAACUAAACACAGCCAUGAAGUGCCAUGAGUGCAUAUUGUAUUGCAAAAAGCAGAUUUUAAAAGCCAACUAAAUUGUCAAUGAACAGAUCUUUAUUCUGUCACUUGAGAAAUGCUGAGUACAUACCGUUCCUCGUGUAUUUAGUGUUAGACUAUUGCCAAAUCUAUGUAAUUCAUAGACUAAUUUCGCGCAAACUGAAGAUGAGAGGAACGAAAAAGGAAAGCCCCAAGUUGAGUCAACUAUUUCUUAGUGGCGAAAGAUGGAUCCUUUCAGUCCGUUCAGUCCCAGUCAACAGCGACAGCAGCCUCUGCUGUUUAUGAUGGUAAUUACAUUUAUUCUGUUGCUCUCAGAGUGGUGAAGGGUCCCCCACUAUUCUAAUUUGAAGGGGAACAGACCGGGACAGAGAGGAAAGGAGACAUGUCUUCAACUCAAGGAGCAGCUGGAGGACCACAGGAGGCUCAUCAGAAGCAGGUCCAAACAGGAUUAGAGAAAAGCAUGGAAACUAUUGUGUCAGUAAGUAUGCUAUGUCAUCAAAUCUCAUAGCAAAGCAUGUCAUUAAAAUGUUAUAAAACUGCUGACAAAAGAAUGACAAAAUGUACUUUUAAUCAAUAAGAAUAAAAUCGUACAUUUCCUAACAAUUGUUUGUGUGUUUUUAUACAAAUCACCACUGUAGACAACAACAAAAAGUAUAUGAAAACAGUUAAUGAUGCUAUAAGAUAAAAA